rnacentral:lncRNA from 1 species
UGAAGUAUGCAUUGAACAAUACUAGCCUUGUUCUGAAGGAAUACAUAUUUACAUUAUUUAGAAGGCUCAGGUGUAAACAGAACUCUUUAUUAUUAGGUUCAUAAUGGGUUAUAGCAUUAGGUUCAUAGCAUUAUGCAGUUUUGUCUAGGGGUUUGUAGCUGGUUGUCGGUUAUGUGCGGUGGGCUGUUCGAGUCUUUUUGUGGGUCCUCUUCCAUUCUUCCAACAGGUGGCUCCGGGCUGAAGGUGUUUGGCCGGCUGGUUGGUCAUUCAAGAGUUGGUCGGUCUCUUGCCUCUUUAGGGUCUUCAUUGUUUCAGCUAUUAAUGCUUGGGAGUUAUUA